rnacentral:rRNA from 1 species
CACGUAGUUAGCCGGCGCUUCUUUACCCACUACCCUCACCACAACCAAGUGUUGCGGCUUGACCAUGAGCGAAAGAGGUUUACAACCCGAAGGCCGUCAUCCCUCACGCGGCGUCGCUGCAUCAGGCUUUCGCCCAUUGUGCAAUAUUCCCCACUGCUGCCUCCCGUAGGAGUCUGGGCCGUAUCUCAGUCCCAAUGUGACCGGUCACCCUCUCAGGCCGGCUACCCGUCAAAGCCUUGGUAGGCCAUCACCCCACCAACAAGCUGAUAGGCCGCGAGCCCAUCCCCCACCAGAAAAAACCUUUCCACCAACCCCCAUGCGAAGGCCAGUGAAUAUCCAGUAUUAGCACCCGUUUCCGGGCGUUAUCCCAAAGAAGGGGCAGGUUACUCACGUGUUACUCACCCGUUCGCCACUCAUCCACCCAGCAAGCUGGGCUUCAGCGUUCGACUUGCAUGUGUUAAGCACGCCGCCAGCGUCGUCCUGAGCCAGGACUCAAAACUCU